rnacentral:rRNA from 1 species
UACGUAGGGGGCUAGCGUUGUCCGGAAUCAUUGGGCGUAAAGCGCGUGUAGGCGGUCCGGUAAGUCCGCUGUGAAAGUCGGGGGCUCAACCCUCGAAUGCCGGUGGAUACUGUCGGGCUAGAGUGCAGAAAGGGCAAUCGGAAUUCUUGGUGUAGCGGUGAAAUGCGUAGAUAUCAAGAGGAACACCUGAGGCGAAGGCGGGUUGCUAGGCUGACACUGACGUGAGGCGCGAAAGCCAGGGGAGCAAACGGG